CCUAUGGGAGACAGCAGUGAGGAAUAUUGGUCAAUGGGCGCGAGCCUGAACCAGCCAAGUAGCGUGAAGGAUGACUGCCCUACGGGUUGUAAACUUCUUUUAUAAAGGAAUAAAGUGAGGCACGUGUGCCUUUUUGUAUGUACUUUAUGAAUAAUGAUCGGCUAACUCCGUGCCAGCAGCCGCGGUAAUACGGAGGAUCCGAGCGUUAUCCGGAUUUAUUGGGUUUAAAGGGAGCGUAGAUGGGUUGUUAAGUCAGUUGUGAAAGUUUGCGGCUCAACCGUAAAAUUGCAAUUGAUACUGGCAGUCUUGAGUACAGUUGAGGUAGGCGGAAUUCGUGGUGUAGCGGUGAAAUGCUUAGAUAUCACGAAGAACUCCGAUUGCGAAGGCAGCUUACUAAACUGCCACUGACAUUGAUGCUCGAAAGUGUGGGUAUCAAACAGGAUUAGAUACCCUUGUAGUC
rnacentral:rRNA from 1 species